rnacentral:rRNA from 1 species
GGCAGCACAGUAAGAGCUUGCUCUUAUGGGUGGCGAGUGGCGGACGGGUGAGGAAUACAUCGGAAUCUACUUUUUCGUGGGGGAUAACGUAGGGAAACUUACGCUAAUACCGCAUACGACCUACGGGUGAAAGCAGGGGAUCUUCGGACCUUGCGCGAUUGAAUGAGCCGAUGUCGGAUUAGCUAGUUGGCGGGGUAAAGGCCCACCAAGGCGACGAUCCGUAGCUGGUCUGAGAGGAUGAUCAGCCACACUGGA